GAUGAACGCUGGCGGCGUGCCUAAUACAUGCAAGUCGAGCGAACAGACGAGGAGCUUGCUCCUCUGACGUUAGCGGCAGACGGGUGAGUAACACGUGGAUAACCUACCUAUAAGACUGGGAUAACUUCGGGAAACCGGAGCUAAUACCGGAUAAUAUAUUGAACCGCAUGGUUCAAUAGUGAAAGACGGUUUUGCUGUCCCUUAUAGAUGGAUCCGCGCCGCAUUAGCUAGUUGGUAAGGUAACGGCUUACCAAGGCGACGAUGCGUAGCCGACCUGGGAGGGUGAUCGGCCACACUGGAAGUGAGACACGGUCCAGACUCCUACGGGAGGCAGCAGUAGGGAAUCUUCCGCAAUGGGCGAAAGCCUGACGGAGCAAGGCCGCGUGAGUGAUGAAGGUCUUCGGAUCGUAAAACUCUGUUAUUAGGGAAGAACAAAUGUGUAAGUAACUAUGCACGUCUUGACGGUACCUAAUCAGAAAGCCACGGCUAACUACGUG
rnacentral:rRNA from 1 species